rnacentral:rRNA from 1 species
UACGUAGGGGGCGAGCGUUGUCCGGAAUCAUUGGGCGUAAAGCGCGUGUAGGCGGCCCGAAAAGUCUGGUGUGAAAUCUUGAGGCUCAACCUUAAGCUGUCACUGGAUACUGUCGGGCUUGAGUCCGGAAGAGGAGAGUGGAAUUCCUGGUGUAGCGGUGGAAUGCGCAGAUAUCAGGAGGAACACCUAUGGCGAAGGCAGCUCUCUGGUACGUGACUGACGCUGAGACGCGAAAGCGUGGGGAGCAAACAGG